rnacentral:rRNA from 1 species
GAUGUACGCUGGCGGCGUGCCUAAUACAUGCAAGUCGAGCGAACGGACGAGAAGCUUGCUUCUCUGAUGUUAGCGGCGGACGGGUGAGUAACACGUGGAUAACCUACCUAUAAGACUGGGAUAACUUCGGGAAACCGUAGCUAAUACCGGAUAAUAUUUUGAACCGCAUGGUUCAAAAGUGAAAGACGGUCUUGCUGUCACUUAUAGAUGGAUCCGCGCUGCAUUAGCUAGUUGGUAAGGUAACGGCUUACCAAGGCAACGAUGCAUAGCCGACCUGAGAGGGUGAUCGGCCACACUGGAACUGAGACACGGUCCAGACUCCUACGGGAGGCAGCAGUAGGGAAUCUUCCGCAAUGGGCGAAAGCCUGACGGAGCAACGCCGCGUGAGUGAUGAAGGUCUUCGGAUCGUAAAACCCUGUUAUUAGGGAAGAACAUAUGUGUAAGUAACUGUGCACAUCUUGACGGUACCUAAUCAGAAAGCCACGGCUAACUACGUG